rnacentral:rRNA from 1 species
UACGUAGGUGGCAAGCGUUGUCCGGAAUUAUUGGGCGUAAAGCGCGCGCAGGCGGUCCUUUAAGUCUGAUGUGAAAGCCCACGGCUCAACCGUGGAAGGUCAUUGGAAACUGGAGGACUUGAGUACAGAAGAGGAAAGCGGAAUUCCACGUGUAGCGGUGAAAUGCGUAGAGAUGUGGAGGAACACCAGUGGCGAAAGGCGGCUUUCUGGUCUGUAACUGACGCUGAGGCGCGAAAGCGUGGGGAGCAAACAGG